GCUACGGGAGGCAGCAGUGAGGAAUAUUGGUCAAUGGGCGUGAGCCUGAACCAGCCAAGUAGCGUGAAGGAUGAAGGCUCUAUGGGUUGUAAACUUCUUUUAUAAGGGAAUAAAGUGUGGCACGUGUGCGUUUUUGUAUGUACCUUAUGAAUAAGGAUCGGCUAACUCCGUGCCAGCAGCCGCGGUAAUACGGAGGAUCCGAGCGUUAUCCGGAUUUAUUGGGUUUAAAGGGUGCGUAGGGGGGUUCUUAAGUCAGUUGUGAAAGUGGGUGGCUCAACCGUAAAAGUGCCUUUGAAACUGGGGGGCUUGAGUAUGGUUGAGGUAGGCGGAAUUCGUGGUGUAGCGGUGAAAUGCUUAGAUAUCACGAAGAACUCCGAUUGCGAAGGCAGCUUACCAGGCCAAGACUGACACUGAUGCUCGAAAGUGUGGGUAUCAAACAGGAUUAGAUACCCCAGUAGUC
rnacentral:rRNA from 1 species